AGAGUGAACGCUGGCGGCGGGCCUAACACAUGCAAGUCGAACGGCAGCACGAGAGAGCUUGCUCUCUUGGUGGCGAGUGGCGGACGGGUGAGGAAUACGUCGGAAUCUGCCUUUUUGUGGGGGAUAACGUAGGGUAACUUACGCUAAUACCGCAUACGACCUACGGGUGAAAGCGGAGGACCUUCGGGCUUCGCGCAGAAAGAUGAGCCGACGUCGGAUUAGCUAGUUGGAGGGGUAAUGGCCCACCAAGGCGACGAUCCGUAGCUGGUCUGAGAGGAUGAUCAGCCACACUGGGACUGAGACACGGCCCAGACUCCGUACGGGAGCAGCAGUGGGGAAUAUUGGACAAGUGGGCGCAAAGCCUGACUCCACGCA
rnacentral:rRNA from 1 species